CCUACGGGAGGCAGCAGUGGGGAAUAUUGCACAAUGGGGGAAACCCUGAUGCAGCGACGCCGCGUGAGCGAUGAAGUAUUUCGGUAUGUAAAGUUCUAUCAGCAGGGAAGAAAAUGACGGUACCUGACUAAGAAGCCCCGGCUAACUACGUGCCAGCAGCCGCGGUAAUACGUAGGGGGCAAGCGUUAUCCGGAUUUACUGGGUGUAAAGGGAGCGUAGACGGCGAUGCAAGCCAGAUGUGAAAGCCCGGGGCUCAACCCCGGGACUGCAUUUGGAACUGUAUAGUUAGAGUGUCGGAGAGGCAG
rnacentral:rRNA from 1 species